GACAGAGGGUGCUAGCGUUAAUCGGAAUUACUGGGCGUAAAGGGCGUGUAGGCGGAUUAAUAAGUCGGAUGUGAAAGCCCUGGGCUUAACCUGGGAACGGCAUCUGAUACUAUGAGUCUAGAGUGAAGCAGAGGGUAGCGGAAUUUCCGGUGUAGCGGUGAAAUGCGUAGAUAUCGGAAGGAACACCAGUGGCGAAGGCGGCUCGCUGGGCAGUGGCUGACGCUGAGGCGCGACAGCGUGGGGAGCAAACAGG
rnacentral:rRNA from 1 species